GGACCAUCAUGUCGGUCGUGCCUCGGUACGUACUGGCAUUGUCGGUUUCUCCCUUCUGACGAACCAUGAUGUCAUUUAUUUGGUGUUGUGGGGAAUCAGGACUGUUACUUUGAAAAAAUUAGAGUGUUUAAAGCAGGCUCACGCUUGAAUACAUUAGCAUGGAAUAAUGAAAUAGGACGUUUGAUUCUAUUUUGUUGGUCAUAGGGCUAAAGUA
rnacentral:rRNA from 1 species